rnacentral:lncRNA from 1 species
AUGGAAUCCUGGAUACCUGAAGUAUUUUGCCUGUAGUCAAAAAGGUAUGAAUUAGGUAUCUGGAAAUUAAACCAGGCCCUUUGUUGUCACAUCUAUUAUUCUUUCUACUGCAUCAUGACUCACAAGGAAUGAAUAUUCAAACUAGACUGGUUGGAAUAAAGGUGAAAAGGAAGACCUGGACAGAAGAAUAUUGCAAAGAUAAGAAAUGAGAACAUUGGAACCGCUUGGUGGGGAGAGGGUGCAGUAAGAGAAGCAGGAUUGGUAGAAAGACUUUAAAGACUGGAAUUCAAGUCAUUGCUCUCAUUUGCUAGCUAUGCAGCAACGGAUGAUUAGACCACUUCUUUGAGACUCAGUCGUCUUAUCUAUAUAGUGGAUUUAACAAUAUUUAUAACACCUACCUCACUGGAUUAGUGUGAGAAAACCUCCUUUUAAACCCAAAGUGCUAUUGAAAUAUCAACUGUGUACAUAUAUUGGUUUUCAGAUGUAAAGGGUGAAUUCCAAAUAAUAAAAUACCCAAGUCAGCUGCCA